GAUGAACGCUGGCGGCGUGCCUAAUACAUGCAAGUCGAGCGAACAGACGAGGAGCUUGCUCCUCUGACGUUAGCGGCGGACGGGUGAGUAACACGUGGAUAACCUACCUAUAAGACUGGGAUAACUUCGGGAAACCGGAGCUAAUACCGGAUAAUAUAUUGAACCGCAUGGUUCAAUAGUGAAAGACGGUUUUGCUGUCACUUAUAGAUGGAUCCGCGCCGCAUUAGCUAGUUGGUAAGGUAACGGCUUACCAAGGCAACGAUGCGUAGCCGACCUGAGAGGGUGGUCGGCCACACUGGCACUGAGACACGGUCCAGACUCCUACGGGGGGCAGCAGUAGGGAAUCUUCCGCAAUGGGCGAAAGCCUGACGGAGCAACGCCGCGUGAGUGAUGAAGGUCUUCGGAUCGUAAAACUCUGUUAUUAGGGAAGAACAAAUGUGUAAGUAACUAUGCACGUCUUGACGGUACCUAAUCAGAAAGCCACGGCUAACUACGUG
rnacentral:rRNA from 1 species